ACUGCUCAGUAACACGUGGACAACCUACCCAAAGGUCUGGGAUAACUCCGGGAAACUGGGGAUAAUACCGGAUAGGUCAAGAGUACUGGAAGGGUUUUUUGAUUGAAAGCUCUGGCGCCUUUGGAUGGGUCUGCGGCUGAUUAGGUUGACGCCGGUGUAAAGUACCGGCGUGCCGAUUAUCAGUACGGGUUGUGGGAGCAAGAGCCCGGAGAUGGAUUCUGAGACACGAAUCCAGGCCCUACGGGGCGCAGCAGGCGCGAAAACUCUACAAUGCAGGCAACUGCGAUAGGGGAACAUCGAGUGGCAUCUACAUUAGGUGUCUGUCCAGCUGUCUAAAAAACGGCUGUUAGCAAGGGCCGGGCAAGACCGGUGCCAGCCGCCGCGGUAAUACCGGCGGCUCGAGUGGUGGCCGAUAUUAUUGAGUCUAAAGGGUCCGUAGCCGGCUUUGCAAGUCUUGUGGGAAAUCCAGCGGCUUAACCGUUGGGCGUCUGCGGGAUACUACAUUGCUUGGGACUGGGAGAGGUAGGAGGUACUCAGGGGGUAGGAGUGAAAUCCUGUAAUCCUCUGGGGACCACCGGUGGCGAAGGCGUCCUACCAGAACAGGUCCGACGGUGAGGGACGAAAGCUAGGGGCACGAACCGGAUUAGAUACCCGGGUAGUCCUAGCCGUAAACGAUGCCCGCUAGGUGUCACGGCAGUCGUGAACUGCCGUGGUGCCGUAGGGAAGCCGUGAAGCGGGCCACUUGGGAAGUACGACCGCAAGGUUGAAACUUAAAGGAAUUGGCGGGGGAGCAC
rnacentral:rRNA from 1 species